rnacentral:lncRNA from 1 species
GCUCUGUGUCCCUCUGGUCAGGGCUGCGAUGAAGGCGCCAUGUUCUCUCUGCAGCCCUGCUCGCUAGGUAACAUCCGGGGCUGUGAAGGCUGAGAAGUGGCAGGUACUGCACAUCCUGCUGUAUGACAGCCCAGAGAAAGGCCGGGCUAACCCUGGGCAGACCCAGGACAGGAGCUGCCCCCAGCCAGCCCGGCUGCCCCCGGCGACCACAUGCGGCCUGUGGGAGCUGAUCGGGGCCUUGGGGCAAGCGGACACGCUGGAGGGAUGCGAGGACGACCUGUUCGCCUCUUGCUUCCUCGCCAUCGCCUGCCCCCCGGCACGGCACCUCUCGGGAGCCCAGCAGGACUUGCCCAGUGACACCAGUCCACGCAGCAUGGCCGUGCAGGCCCUGGCGCGGGUGCUGCGCCUCAGGGGCAGUCAGCCAGCUGUGGAGCUAAUGGACCAGGAGCGAGGCUGGCAGCUGCUGGAGGAGGCCCAGCCCGAGGGGUUCACUCUCCUUAGCAGGUGAGGACAGAGGCUGGGGGAGGCACGUUCUCGCUCUGGAGCCCAGUGGGGCAGAGAUGGGAGGGGGUGGCCGGGACCGGGCCGGAUUCCGGCAUGUGCAGGGUUGUCAUGCACACGUCAACACGAGCUCUUGUUCUCUCCCAGGGCCAUAGUGACCCACCCAAACCUGGCCCUGAAGAGCAUCCCAAAGCUUCUCCUUCCCAGCCUCCAGGCCAGCCAGGAGGGCGAACGCAUGGCCUGCACUGCCCUGUUCGCAGAGUUCCUCGGCAGCCCCCUGCUGAUGGAGAAAGAGCCCAAGGCGAUGCGGAAGCAGGUUGUGAAGGCCAUGCUGCAGCGGACAGAGGACAGCAACAUCCACGUUUGAGGCAGAAUGCUUGUUACCAGAUGUGCCCAUUACUUUGAGGUAUGCUCAUUUAUUCGGGUUACACUCUGGGGAAGGGGGUUCUGUAAUCCUGUCAAUGUACUGCUUGUGUCACUUGUGUUUUCAUAUGGAGCUUUACUUCUCCUUUCUGCAAGUCCCCUCCCAAUGGAGCUAUCCUGCAGAACCUAGGUCCCUAGGGCUGGAUUACACCCCCCCC